rnacentral:ncRNA from 1 species
CAACUUGAGAGUUUGAUCCUGGCUCAGAACGAACGCUGGCGGCAGGCUUAACACAUGCAAGUCGAGCGCGUAGCAAUACGAGCGGCAGACGGGUGAGUAA